GAAACUUGACCAAGUUGCAGGUGCAUAAUGGGGCCAUGUUUCGUAGCCAAGUCCCGUAGGGUGCGAUGAAGUAGACCAGGACCAGCAAGCUGGUGAAAAUUUCCUAUCAAAGGUAAUUUCCGUGGCCCUGGAAUCAACUUUUGAGUUAAAUUCCUAGCUUUAGAUUUCCUUACACUUUUGAUUGCUGCCAUAAACAAAACAAGGAGGAAGCUGAUGAUAAUCUGGAAUAAGGGUAUUCUGAACUCCAUUAGCACAAAGAAGAGGAGCUUGCAAAAAUAGAACGAAAAGAAAGAAAUCAACUGAUGAGAUUCAGUCU
rnacentral:lncRNA from 1 species